rnacentral:lncRNA from 1 species
CUUUAAAUAUUGAUGUGUAUGUGAAGACUUUCUAAAGUGCCCAGAUGGACAUCUCCAACUGUGUUUCCCUGCUAAUGUUUGCUUUCUUUGUUCUGAUUGGCAGCUGCUGGGCUCCAGUCAAGUACAUUGUCCCUCCUGAUCAUGACUGCUCUGAAGGCAGGGUAGCUGUCUGAUGUGUCCUGCUGGCACCUGAGUACUUCAGGCUGAAAGGAUUAUCCUGUUGCAUUGUAAACAACCACUAAACCUUCUAAAGAGAUUUCUCAUCUGCACUGUUUUGCUGGUGAGUUGCUUGAAGCCUGAUGCUAUAAAGAUAAUAGAAUUAGCAGACCUAGCAGGCCUCAUUAUUUUUAAUUACUAUUACUGCUGCUCACACACUACAUGUAAUUUGGUAAUGCUGGAGUGGGGUGAGGGGAGGGAACCAAUUCUGUAUUUCAGAAUGGUCCAUCAUAGAAGUGUUUGUUGUCAAAUCCAUCUGUGAAUUAUGUAUUUCUUUCAGAUUUAUCUUUUAAAUAAUAUUCUGAUCAAAUCUCAGAAACUCAACCUAACAAUAAGAAAAGGGAAUGCAGACCAUAAAUAGGUCAAAAUCAAAGUACCUUCAGCUCACAGUUUGGUUCAUUUAUCAAAGCAAAAUCAAUUGUUAUUAUUAGCCUAUUAUCAUCAUCCUUCCAGUGAGCUGGCUUCAUUUUAAUCAAUAUUUCUAAUUAGUCUACAUCAAAUACAGUUUUUUUAGUCUACAUCAAAUACAGUUUUAAACUGUAGCAACUCAGCUCAGUGUAGGCUAAAUAUAUAUGUUUCUGUGUCUCUUCUUUCCAUUAUUCCAUUAUUCUUUACAAAUAAGUAAUAAGCAGCCACGUGAAAAACAUAUUUGUAACAGUUAGGCAUCAGAGUCAAUAAUGGAUUACCUACUGUGUUAAAAUGCUGUUUGUCUUUUAUUUGUAUGAACUAUAUGCUUUAAAUAGUGCAUCGUGUAAUAAGUUACUCAUCAUUAAAUAACUUCAAAUAAUCAUCACUGAAGUUUCCAUCUCAGCAAAGAGAAACUGAGGAUCAGUGCUCUGUGCCAUGGUUUCUACUGGCUAAUUUUGACUUGUAAAAUAAAUGUUCGUGGAAAUGGCUUCAAGUCCCCCUUUUCCCAUUCCUUUUCAUCCCAGAAGUAUUUUGGCUCUUCCAUGGUUUGUCCGAUAGCUCCCUAAAUUUAUAUGUAUUAUAUAUUCUUUCUGAUUUUCCCCUAUUAAAUUAGUAUUUCUACUUUAUACAUGCAGUGCUAAAAGCAAAGCAGAAUUAAUCCAUACUGGUUCUGUCUCACUCUCAUGUCUUGCACUGGACCAAGCAGGGAUUUCAUGUUUUUAAGAGAACAACGAAAAAGCACCUGUUUACAUUAUUAUUAUUAUUAUUAUUUAAUUUUGGCUGCCUAUUAGAAGGCUACACAGAUGGUCCUCUUCUUCUUUCCCCUUAGCACAAAUACAGCAACUGCUAUGGAUAAUAACAAUUGUUCUGCUUUCUUUCAGGGAUUUAGACACAAGUUAUUCAUGCAGUAACAGUUUCCAUAAGGCAUACUUUCCAGGUGGCCAACAUGGUUCUAGUUCAAGCGUUCAUAACUCAGGAGUAUUUAGCAU